CUGGGCCCAUAGGACAGGGGAGUAAGAAGGGAGUAGUGUAGCCUAGACAGGGGAGUAGGGAGGACAUAGUGUAGCCUAGGCCCAUAGGACAGGGGAGUAGGAAGGGAGUAGUGUAGCCUGGGCCCAUAAGACAGGGGAGGUAGUGGUGUAGCCUGGGCCCAUAAGACCGGGGAGGGAGUGGUGUAGCCUGGGCCCAUAAGACAGGGGAGGUAGUGGUGUAGCCUGGGCCCAUAAGAAAGGGGAGGGAGUGGUGUAGCCUGGGCCCAUAAGACAGGGGAGGGAGUUGUGUAGCCUGGGCCCAUAAGACAGGGGAGAGAGUGGUGUAGCCUGGUCCCAUACGAUAGGAGAGGGAGUGGUGUGGCCUGGGCUCAUAAGACAGGGGAGGG
ensembl:lncRNA